rnacentral:rRNA from 1 species
CCUACGGGAGGCAGCAGUGGGGAAUUUUGGACAAUGGGCGCAAGCCUGAUCCAGCAAUGCCGCGUGAGUGAAGAAGGCCUUCGGGUUGUAAAGCUCUUUUGUCAGGGAAGAAACGGUGGAGGUUAAUACCUUCUGCUAAUGACGGUACCUGAAGAAUAAGCACCGGCUAACUACGUGCCAGCAGCCGCGGUAAUACGUAGGGUGCAAGCGUUAAUCGGAAUUACUGGGCGUAAAGCGUGCGCAGGCGGUUGUGCAAGACAGAUGUGAAAUCCCCGGGCUCAACCUGGGAAUUGCAUUUGUGACUGUACGGCUAGAGUGUGUCAGAGGGGGGUAGAAUUCCACGUGUAGCAGUGAAAUGCGUAGAGAUGUGGAGGAAUACCGAUGGCGAAGGCAGCCCCCUGGGAUAACACUGACGCUCAUGCACGAAAGCGUGGGGAGCAAACAGGAUUAGAUACCCUGGUAGUCCACGCCCUAAACGAUGUCUACUAGUUGUCGGGUCUUUAUUGACUUGGUAACGCAGCUAACGCGUGAAGUAGACCGCCUGGGGAGUACGGUCGCAAGAUUAAAACUCAAAAGGAAUUGACGG